AACGCUGGUCCAUCAUCCUUUGCCUCUGUUGAUAAGCGGGUCUGUUACCCGGUUGCUGCUGCUGUUGAUACUGAGCUGGUUGACGUUGUGAUUGUUGUUGUUGUAGUGGCGCUGCAGCUGGAAUGGUCACAGCCUCAACAUACGGUUGCUGAUGAUAAUUCUGAAAAUUAUUCCUCCGGUUAUCCCUGUUCUGAUAAGAAGAUAUGG
rnacentral:lncRNA from 1 species